CACGUAGGGCGCAAGCGUUGUCCGGAAUCAUUGGGCGUAAAGAGCUCGUAGGUGGUCUGUUGCGUCCGCUGUGAAAACUCGGGGCUUAACCCCGAGCUUGCAGUGGAUACGGGCAGACUAGAGGUAGGUAGGGGAGACUGGAAUUCCUGGUGUAGCGGUGGAAUGCGCAGAUAUCAGGAGGAACACCGGUGGCGAAGGCGGGUCUCUGGGCCGAUACUGACACUGAGAAGCGAAAGCGUGGGGAGCGAACAG
rnacentral:rRNA from 1 species